AGCCUGUUUGAUGAGAGCACUACCUUCCUUC
rnacentral:piRNA from 1 species